CCUUUAAAAAAAUUAAUGAAAGAUUAUGGUGGUUUGGUCCGGUAACGACGCUUUCGCGAAUUAUUAAUUUAUUUAAAUUAAUUACUCGUGUGUUUUAGUGUAAAUUGAAGUCUGUGUUAAUAAAUCGUGUUACGGAUUGAUUGUUCAGUGUAACGGUGUGAAAGAUGAGUCAAAAGGCGAGUCGGAAGAGUGCGGUCAAUGAAGAAAAAGAAAAG